ACUCAACACUAUUCAUUAUAAAGGGUGAGUCUGCACUGUUAGAGCGCGCCGUUUUAAUACGGAUUUUCGAUCAGUCAGUUAGCCGCUAAACUUGUUUUAUAAGGAGUUU
rnacentral:sRNA from 1 species